rnacentral:rRNA from 1 species
AGUAUGUGGUUUAAUUCGAUGCAACGCGAAGAGCCUUACCUGGUCUUGACAUCCCGGAGACCCUUAGGAAACUAGGGGGUGCUUCCAUCUGGAAGAAUCUGGAGACAGGUGCUGCAUGGCUGUCGUCAGCUCGUGUCGUGAGAUGUUGGGUUAAGUCCCGCAACGAGCGCAACCCUUGCCUUUAGUUGCCAGCAGUUCGGCUGGGCACUCUAAAGGGACUGCCGGUGUUAAACCGGAGGAAGGUGGGGAUGACGUCAAGUCCUCAUGGCCUUUAUGACCAGGGCUACACACGUACUACAAUGGCCGAUACAAAGGGCAGCGACACUGCGAGGUGAAGCCAAUCCCGUAAAAUCGGUCUCAGUCCGGAUUGGAGUCUGCAACUCGACUCCAUGAAGUUGGAAUCGCUAGUAAUCGUGGAUCAGCAUGCCACGGUGAAUACGUUCCCGGGCCUU